rnacentral:lncRNA from 10 species
CUGAGCCCAGAAGGUCAAGGCUGCAGUGAGCAAGGUCAUGACACUGCACUCCAGCCUGGGAGACAGACCCUGUCUCAAACAAACAAGCAAACCAAAACCCUCUUGAUCCCAUUUCCCAAAAAAAUGAUUUUUUUGAGAUCUUACCAUCUCCUGGCUUGGUGCAGAGUACAGGAAAUCAAGACAACGUACAGCACACAAGGAAUAGGGAGGGAGGGAAGCAUGGGGGAGGCUGACACCGUGGACUCUCCCAGCUCAGUCGACCCAUGCGCCUUGUUUCAUGGAAGAAAGGAAUGGAAGAUGAAUCAUGCCUUCAGCACACAGUGAUCUUCCUCACUAGUAAAUGUGCCUCCAGAAGUGUCCAAGAACUCAGUGCCAGAGCCAGGCUGGCUGCAUGAGAAUCACCUGCGAGCUUUUGCAAACAUAGGCCCCUACUGGGCCCAAAUGUAUUCGUCUCUGAGAGGAGGAGAGAGGCAGAACAAGGAAAAGGAUGGGAAGAAACCAGCCUUGUGCACAGGAGGAUGCUGGGAUUCCUCCUGCACAUUUAGCGCAAUGCAGCCUAUUUUACAAGGUCACAGAAGCUCAGAGAGUCCUGGGAGAGAAGCAGAUGUGGUUUCCAAUCCCACUUUCCAGAAGAGGAGACUGAGGCAGAGGACAUGUGAGGACAGGUGAAGGUCAUGAUCAUUGUCAGCCCCCUGCCCCAGCUGGACAUUCCCAGAUCUGGUGGACUUCCAGCCAGAGGAGACAGAAGGACUGGAUCACUCAACUCUGCCAUGGGUGCCAGGACCCAAUUUUUCCCUGGCUAACUCGGUCACCUCCUGUCUGGGAUCUCCAACUACUACCCAUCCCACAAGUCUCAGCUAAAACAGCAAUUCAACGGGGAACUUUUUUCUGAGGCUCCAAGAUUGGGCCAGGCCCUCUCCAUGGCUCUCUGCCCUUCCCCUACUGCAGAACGUAGCACCUGUAUGUCACUACUGGUUCAAACAUGUGUCUUUCGUAUGCUCUCCACGUUAUCUGCAGCAUCUGUCAAGAAUAAUAAUGAAUGGUAAAACCUAAUCUCUAUUGAGUGUCGAUGAUGCACUUUUAAUGUGACAUCUUAUUUAAUCCUCACUAU